rnacentral:sRNA from 2 species
CGUGCGCACGCGCCGAAUCCCGCAAGGGAACCGGGGAACCACCACCUUGGGGUGAAUCACGCGGACGCCGGCAGUGAACUCAGUGAGUCCACACCCGGUAUACGCGCGUAGGAGACCUUCCUGCUCCGAACCCGUCAGCUAACCCGGUAGGCGACGGAAGGAAAGGAGUA